ACUCAGCAGUGCUCUGUUCCUUUGGGAGACGGACAGAAAGACACACAGAAAGACACACGCAAACACACACACACACACACACACACACACACACACACACACACACACACACACACACACACAGAGUUGGUGGUUGUGCCGCCCUGAGCCUCCAAUCAGCCAGUGUGAGGAAGGGACCAGAUGGGUUGGGCAGAAAGGUGCUGGGUCAAGGGAGGAGGGGGAAGCCGGGGGCGCGCGCACGCUCUGGACUCCUUCACCCGCCAAAACGGAUUCGCUCGGGGCACGCCGGGUUGAGCGGCGAGGGGCGACCGGGACUGGGACAGGGAUGCGGGCAGCCCUUUCCUAGGCGGUAGCGGGGGCGGUGGUGCUGUUGCCCUUUUAAACUGUGGCUUGACAGGAGCCGCGCCUCCCGUCGGUGGAGUCGGUUACAAUGGGAGCAGCUCCACAGGCCUCCACACAGCUCCUGCCAAGGCCUCCUCCGUGCCUCUUGCCAUUUUCCAGCCGCGCUCCCAGGAGGGUGGAGGCGGCGGCGAGCGGCGAAGCUGGGAGAGCUCUGCAGGGGGGCCCCGCGGGGUGGUCGCGGCCAUGACAGCGGCUCCGGACAGUCUCCGGUUCCGCGCCCCUCCCGCCUGAGAUGAGUGGAAGAUGUCAGUGUCCCGGCUCAAGGCCAAACUGAAGUUGCUGGCAUCUGUCUUCCACAAGAACCAGGAGCCCGCAGCCGCCGGCUCACGCUCCACUGCAACAUGACGGACAUAGAAGACUGAGAUCACUGUGAGAUGAAAGAAGAGCCUAUUAGUGGGAAAAAGUUGGAGGAUGAAGGAACUGAAAAAGAACAUUUGGCAGUAGUAGAGAAAAUUAGGAAGACUGAAAGGCAAGACCAUUUAAAUGCUGCAGUGUCUGGGUCAGUGCAAGCUUCAGAUAGACUUAUGAAAGAGCUCAGGGACAUAUACAGAUCACAGAGUUACAUGACAGGGUUGACCCUGAUAGUCCUUUGCACAGUGAUCUUCAGAUCUUAAAAGAAAAAGAAGGCUUGGGAGAUAUUUUGCUGAACUUAUCUUUUAAGGAUAACUUUCCAGUUGAUCCUCCAUUUGUUUGAGUGGUGUUACCUGUUCUCUCAGGAGGGUAAGUGUAAGUGAUUAUUUUUAUUUAUUUAUUUAUUUUUAUUUUUUUAUAGAGAUGAGGUCUCACUAUGUUGCCCUGGCUGUUCUUGAACUGCUGGGCUCAAGCGAUCCUCCCACCUUGCCCUCCCAAAGUGCUGGGAUGACAGGUGUGAGCUGCUGUGCCUGGUUUACUUAUUAUUAUUUUUUAACAUAGUGUACACCAGAAUUCAUUUGGAGAGCUAGUCCCAGGGUUUCUGAUUCAGUAGGUCUGUGGUGGGACCUGACCAUUUACAUUUUUUAGAAGUUACCAGGUGAAGUUGAUGCUAUUGAUCUGGGGCCCACAUCUGGAACCAUUAUAAAGCAUUAUGUUGCUGAUAUGUAGAGUUUUUAGUGACUCAUACACACACACACACACACACACACACACACACACACACGUAUAUAUAAACACAUACUUUUUUUGUCAUAAAAACCGAGUGUUUUUCAAAUGUAAAUUGUGAUUGGGGGUUUAGAGAAUGUUACGAUUACAGAGUGGUCACCACAUGCCUGUGAUCCUAAUUAUACUUCUAGGAAUCAUUAUGGGAAAUCUCAUAGAUGUAAGGAGCUGGCUAAUUACUUCUUGAGGUGAUAGUUGCAGUUUAGUAGAAUCCAAUGGUAAUUGUCUUGCAGUUUUACUGAAGUUUGUAUUGCUUCUUUUUUGUGGUUGGAAGUCUUACGGAAGUGGGGAAAAGAUCACAGUUUGCUAGGUUAGUUAUGAAAUGUUCUGUAGACCCUCAAAAUAUGAGCAAUUUAAAGUAACUUGAGGAUUUUGAAACACUCAGUUGACUAAUUCUAUUAUGUGACAUAAUCUACAUUAUGGUGAUUAAAAUCUAAAUAUAUCCAGCCCUUACUUUUUGAUGAUUUCUAUGGUUGAGAUAGUAAUAGUUGCAUUUUUGGUAAAAAUAUGAGUGACUAUUUCAGACUUCAGAACUUUCUCCAGAAGAGCUUUGUUCCCACAGUUAUUUUUAGUUGUAUUUGCUUUACAUGCUUAUAUAUGUGUUUUGGGGGCUAACAUCAAGAAUCAUUUCUGUGUAAUCAGAAUAUGUAUUAACUGUGGUGUUGAUACUACAGAAUAGUUAUCUGGACGUUAUAUCCAUCUGUAAAAGCUCAGAGAGACAAAAAGUGUUUUUUCCUUUUUUUAAACCCUUAGUAUUACAUAUGGAUGUGCUGAGUUCAUUUUGAGUUCUACCACACAGUAAAGUAAUAUUGUUUUAUUCAUUCAUUCAUUCAUUCAUUGAGGCAGAGUCUUGCUGUGUUGCUCAGGCUGAAGUGAG
rnacentral:lncRNA from 10 species